GGAAAUGGAGCCCUGCUCAUGAGAUGGUGACUCGAGGUGCUAGGGAGUCCGGUGAGAAGUGUGGCACUCCCAGAUUGCUGCCACUGCUUUUUGGAUCACUGAGCACGGUGAAGUUGCCAGGCAUGACUGUCCGUCACCCAGGAGACGAAGCCGCACCCGUGAGAUGGUGAAUCGAGGUGCAGGGGAGUCUGACGAGAAGUGUGGCGGGCCCAGGUUGCUGCCAGUUCUUUUUGAAUCACCAAGCACGGUGAAGUUGCCUGUUAUGACUGUCCAUCACCCAGGAGAUGAAGCCCUGCCAGUGAGGCAGUGACUUAAGGUGCAGAGGAGUCC